AUUGAACGCUGGCGGCAUGCUUUACACAUGCAAGUCGAACGGCAGCGCGGGCUUCGGCCUGGCGGCGAGUGGCGAACGGGUGAGUAAUGCAUCGGAACGUGCCCAGUAGUGGGGGAUAGCCCAGCGAAAGCCGGAUUAAUACCGCAUACGACCUGAGGGUGAAAGCGGGGGACCGAAAGGCCUCGCGCUAUUGGAGCGGCCGAUGUCGGAUUAGCUAGUUGGUGGGGUAAAGGCUUACCGAGGCGACGAUCCGUAGCUGGUCUGAGAGGACGACCAGCCACACUGGGACUGAGACACGGCCCAGACUCCUACGGGAGGCAGCAGUGGGGAAUUUUGGACAAUGGGGGCAACCCUGAUCCAGCCAUGCCGCGUGCGGGAAGAAGGCCUUCGGGUUGUAAACCGCUUUUGUUCGGGAAGAAAUCCUCUGGGCUAAUACCCCGGGGGGAUGACGGUACCGGAAGAAUAAGCACCGGCUAACUACGUG
rnacentral:rRNA from 1 species